ACGAUGCGUGCGAUCACACACGUGCUUAAACCUUUAAAACACAUUUUUUGAUAUUUUUAUAAAAGGAAGAAAAGGUCUUAGCACGAGGACGAUGCGUGCGAUCACACACGUGCUUAAACCUUUAAAACACAUUUUUUGUUAUUAUUAAUUUUUAAUUUUUAUUAUUUAUUAUUUUUAAUUAACAAAUGAGUAUAACAAACAAAUAAUAAUAAAACAAAUGUCAAACAAAAAUAAUAACAAGCAAAGACAAUAAAAAUAAAACAGCCCAACAAGCCCAAUAAGAGUGAGGUGCAGAAAUUAAAAACCAAGGGUGCACAGCAAGUUUGAGACUGCCAGGGGUGUAAUUAUUAAAUUGGCGGUGCAGCGCGAAAUAGCCUAUCCAGGCCCAAAGACAGGGGUGCAGCUAUAAAGUUGGGGGUUGUCAUUGGGUAUUCGCUGGUCAGGCUUAAGGCCUCUUUGUUUGCAGAAAGAAGUGGGGGUGCGAACAGAGUUGUGUGUGGUGACAGGAGGAGAGGGCGCGCCCAAUAGCCAGGCCCAAGGCCCUUUAACCCAAACAGAAACCAUUAGGGGUUUCAACAACUGCAUCAAAUUUGCAGCAGCGUCAAAACUCAUAUCAUCUUCUCCUCUGAACGAAAGAAACUAGAGACACCUCCACUCAACCGGCCACCACCGUACCGUCCACGCCGUCGUCAACAACGAUACUCGUUGCCGGAGCCACCAGGUUGAGGCCCUCAUUCCAGUCGAGCUCCUUUCGUCCCCAUCGUGCCGCCGCCACUGCCUAGCUCUCUACAUACGCAAGAAGAACCUCCUGCCCUAGGUCACGAUGCCAUUUGUUACCAGGAGCGCCGGCGACGACGCCGAUCACCACCAGAGUUACAUAAAGGUACCGCCGACACCAAGCAAGGGUCGACGCUCUGCGUCGAGCUUUCCCUUACACUCUCACGUCGCAGCCACUGAACCAAGUUCUCCCUUCUUCCUCUGAUAUCUAUUUUCCGAUUUGGGUGCUGGAAAGCUGGCAGUGAGAGUGGAUGAUGAAGGGGACUUGAGACCGAUUUUGGUUUUCUU
rnacentral:lncRNA from 1 species